rnacentral:rRNA from 1 species
UAUAAGACGAGAAGACCCCAUGGAGCUUUAAACUUAACUACACCCCUUUUAACCUUUCUUAAAAACCUUUAGGCCCCUGUACGUUCUGUUUUAGGUUGGGGUGACCGCGGAGCACAAAUUAACCUCCACAAUGAAUAGACCUCUUCUUUAUCCAAGACUCACACCUCUAAGAACUAGUAUUCUAACAUAAAAUGAUCCGACAUUCGAUCAACGAAUCAAGUUACCCU